rnacentral:lncRNA from 1 species
UUAUGGUAUCCACUUGUGUAAAUGUUUUAAAUUGACGAUUGAAUUAGUUCAUUGUAUUCAUAUAGGGUUAAAGAGUGUAGCUAUAAAAAAUCAUCAAAAUCGGAGUUAAAAUAACCGUUAAAUCGUGAAUUUUCGUUUUCAACCGUCGAAACGUUUUGUCCGGUAACUUUACCUUUGAACGUUUUUUUUUUGUGAGAUUUUUUGCGUAUGCGAUCUCGAAGCAUAUACAAACAAGUUUGACGGUUGGAUCGUUGAAACUAGUCUCGUAAAAUGCGUAUCCCUUUAAAACGAUAUAUUCCCUAACACUUAGAUUUUAUUUAUACUUACAUCAACUAUAACAUAAGAGUUUGUGGUAUCCACUUGUGUAAAUGUUUUAAAUUGACGAUCGAAUUAGUUCAUUGUAUUCAUAUAGGGUUAAAGAGUGUAGCUGUAAAAAAUCAUCAAAAUCGAAGUUAAAAUAACUGUUAAAUAGUGAAUUUUCUUUUACAACCGUCUAAACGUUUUGUCCCGUAACUUUACCUUUUGAACUUUUUUUUGUUGAGAUUUUUUGGGUAUGCGAUCUCGAAGCAUAUACAAACAAGUUUGACGGUUGGAUUGUUGAAACUAGUCUCGUAGAAUGUGUAUUACAUUAAAACGAUAUUUUCCCUAACACUUUGAUUUUAUUUAUACUUGCAUCAACUAUAACAUAAGAUUUUAUGGUAUCCACUUGUGUAAAUAUUUUAAAUUGACGAUCGAAUUAGUUCAUUGUAUUCAUAUAGGGUUAAAGAGUGUAGCUAUAAAAAAUCAUCAAAAUCGGAGUUAAAAUAACCGUUAAAUCAUGAAUUUUCGUUUACAACCGUCGAAACAUUUUGUCAUGUAACUUUACCUCUGAACGUUUUUUUUUUGAGAUUUUUUGCGUAUGCGAUCUCGAAGCAUAUACAAACAAGUUUGACGGUUGGAUCGUUGAAACUAGUCUCGUAGAAUGCGUAUCCCAUUAAAACGAUAUAUUUCCUAACACUUAGAUUUUAUUUAAACUUGCAUCAACUAUAACAUAAGAUUUUAUGGUAUCCACUUGUGUAAAUGUUUUAAAUUGACGAUCGAAUUGGUUCAUUGUAUUCAUAUAGGGUUAAAGAGUGUAGCUUUAAAAAAUCAUCCAAAUCGGAGUUAAAAUAAUUGUUAAAUAGUGAAUUUUCGUUUACAACCGUCAAAACGUUUUGUCCGGUAACUUUACCUUUGAAUGUUUUUUUUUGAGAUUUUUUGCGUAUGCGAUCUCGAAGCAUAUACAAACAAGUUUGACGGUUGGAUCGCUGUAUUAUGUUUUGUACAAUGCGUAUCGCAUCAAGUUUAUUGGUAUAUAUAUAUAUAUAUUUAUUUAUUUAUUAUGUAGAUUUAAAUGUAUUAAUUUUUUACGUAUAACACUUAAGAAAUCGAAUGAGU